GGCAGCCCUUAUACAUGCAAGUCGAACGAGAAAGUUCCUUCGGGAGCGAGUAAAGUGGCGGACGGGUGAGUAACGCGUAGGAAUCUACCUUUUAGUGGGGGAUAGCUCGGGGAAACUCGAAUUAAUACCGCAUACACCCUUCGGGGGAAAGGGGGCCUCUCCUUGGAAGCUCUCGCUAUUAGAUGAGCCUGCGUGAGAUUAGCUUGUUGGUAAGGUAAUGGCUUACCAAGGCUACGAUCUCUAGCUGGUCUGAGAGGACGAUCAGCCACACUGGGACUGAGACACGGCCCAGACUCCUACGGGAGGCAGCAGUAGGGAAUAUUGGACAAUGGGGGAAACCCUGAUCCAGGCAUGCCGCGUGUGUGAAGAAGGCCUUAGGGUUGUAAAGCACUUUAAGUGAGGAAGAAAAGAUUUAAAUUAAUACUUUGAAUCCCUGACAUUACUCACAGAAUAAGGACCGGCUAACUCCGUGCCAGCAGCCGCGGUAAUACGGAGGGUCCAAGCGUUAAUCGGAAUUACUGGGCGUAAAGCGCGCGUAGAUGGUUUAUUCAGUUGGAUGUGAAAUCCCUGGGCUCAACCUAGGAACUGCAUUCAAAACUUAUAAACUAGAGUACGAAAGAGGAGAGCAGAAUUCAUGGUGUAGCGGUGAAAUGCGUAGAUAUCAUGAGGAAUACCAGUGGCGAAGGCGGCUCUCUGGUUCGAGACUGACAUUGAGGUGCGAAAGCGUGGGUAGCAAACAGGAUUAGAUACCCUGGUAGUCCACGCCGUAAACGAUGAGAACUAGCCGUUGGAUCUUUAGAUUCAGUGGCGCAGCUAACGCAUUAAGUUC
rnacentral:rRNA from 1 species